UCCUACGGGAGGCAGCAGUGGGGAAUAUUGCACAAUGGGCGCAAGCCUGAUGCAGCGACGCCGCGUGAGGGAUGACGGCCUUCGGGUUGUAAACCUCUUUCAGUAGGGAAGAAGCGAAAGUGACGGUACCUGCAGAAGAAGCGCCGGCUAACUACGUGCCAGCAGCCGCGGUAAUACGUAGGGCGCAAGCGUUAUCCGGAAUUAUUGGGCGUAAAGAGCUCGUAGGCGGUUUGUCGCGUCUGCUGUGAAAGCCCGGGGCUCAACUCCGGAUCUGCAGUGGGUACGGGCAGACUAGAGUGCUGUAGGGGAGACUGGAAUUCCUGGUGUAGCGGUGAAAUGCGCAGAUAUCAGGAGGAACACCGAUGGCGAAGGCAGGUCUCUGGGCUGUAACUGACGCUGAGGAGCGAAAGCGUGGGUAGCGAACAGGAUUAGAUACCCUGGUAG
rnacentral:rRNA from 1 species